rnacentral:rRNA from 1 species
UGCUGGAGUGAUUUGUUUGGUUAAUUCCGAUAACAAAUGAGACUCUAGCCUACUAAAUAGUGAGCUGUCUGUCACGCUUCUUAGAGGGACUAGUGGCGUUUAGCCACAUGAAAUUGAGCAAUAACA